GAAACACAACAGUGUAAAUCUGCUGGAAGUGAUCCUGAAAGCAAUCCAUUUCUGAAGACAGAAGGAAAUGAAGAGCAUGGAUAUGAGAUUUUAUAAUUCCCCAGUGAAAAUGAGAAAUGAACCCAUGUCUGUUGAGUUGGUAAACUCUCAUGUAUAAAA